CCUGACCAGAGCAAAGCCCUGGAGGGUGUCCUUCCCGCAAGGUCAUCGGUUCAGCUCUCGGACAUGGAGCUGGACGAGUGCGAGGAGACAACACUGCAUGAUGUGAACAUUGAAGAUGAAAUGAGGCGGAAGCAACAGGCAGCCCAGGAGGCCUACGAUGAAGAUGAUGAGGAUAUGCAUGGAGGAGCGCAGAGGGUGCAAUGUGCCCAGCAAUAAGUCUGAAUUGCAAUAAAGGGUUGCCAGUGAUAAAGGUAUCUCCCCAGUCUUGGGAGCUGAGGUUGUUAUGUGGUUGGAGCUUGGAACUGAACGGCAUGUGUUAUGAUUGUUUGAGAGAUUAUCUCUCAGAACAGUAAUGCCUUUUAUAAUUGACGUUUUGUAGUGUAUCUACGUUGUUGUUUUGUUUGUUCCCUGAAGAUCUUCUCUAUUGGAGACUUGAACAAAACUACUGCUUAAAUUUUGAAGGAUUAUAUUUAUAGCUUCAAGCUUUCUUUCUUGUGACUAUACCCUAUGGUGAUCUGUUACAUUUUGACUGUUGAUUGACGGAAAUGGUAACGAAAGGACCUACUUGUUGGGGGUUAAUC
rnacentral:lncRNA from 1 species